CUCUCGUUCUACUCGUUGAUCGUUCACUCUUUCAUUUUCAUUUCUGUGGUCAAAUGAAUCAUGAUAAAAAUGAAUAAUAUUUAAUAAUAUAAAAAUAACUAAUAUUUCUGUAGUAAGUUGUUUAGAUAAUGAAAUGUUACUGUGCGUUUUGUGCCGUUAUUACUCGCUACGUGAAUCGCACUAUAAGAUGUAAAGAUUAAAUUAAAAAUAGUAAUAUUAUUUUACUGGAAGAAUUACUGUAGUGUUGGUUAAAAACAUAAACAUAAAUUGCUUGUAUAGACUCACCACUGAUUAUAACUUUGUGUUAGUUCAAGUUGGAUCGCCGACUGCCUGUCGUCCUACACGGUUCGCCGUUGUCGAGUCGUAUCGAUUGUUUUCCGCCCCCGCGUGACACUCGUGGAUUCGACGAUAUAGUUAUUGUGACAUUAUUAUUAUAUGAAUUGAACGAGUGUCUUAACUGAUAUUUUUAUAUUGUACCUGCAUGACACAGCCGUAAUUACUGUUACCUGCCUGCUGAGGUGUGUGUGCUGCCUACGUACUAUUAUAGACAAGAGAUUCAUUAUUUUGUUGCUGCCAUCCCUCACAAGAUCCACUUUCCGAAUAUGGAUCAAGCACCUUAUGAUAAAGAAUUUCCAAAAGAAAAUGAAAUUAUUGAAUUGUUACCAUGCAUUAUAUGCAAUCGUUCAUUUCGUCCAAGUUUAUUACAACGUCACUCAAAUAUAUGCCAAAAAAAUGCUAAAAGACGUAAGGUACCAUUUGAUUCAUCGAAACAGCGUAGAAAAGAUACUGAGAUGGCAGCAUAUUUACCGCAUAUGAAAAAAGCUCAAGAUGCUUAUAUUGGCAUAGAAAACUCUAAAAAAAACUGGAGAGCUAAGCAUGAAGAACUUGUUAGAGCUGUUAAAGCAGCACGAGGUGAAAAAGUCGAUAAUAAACCUAUAACAAUUAAACCUAUUGACUCUGAAGAAUGUCCACAUUGUUCACGGAAUUUUGGACCUAAAUCGUAUGAUCGACAUGUAGAGUUUUGCCGAGAAAAAGCUCAAAGAAUAUCUACUGCUCCAGUGAUAAGUCAAGUAGCUAAAGAACGGCUUGAAGCAAGAACAAAGUACNGGGCUCCCCCACUUAAGUCACAGCGUACAGUUACUAAAGAGAAGUAUUCUCCAAAAGUUAAAACUUUUACUCGAGAUGUUUCAAGUGUACCAAUAAAAAUGAUACAGCCAUUAAAAACUAAUAAAAAAAGAAGCCCACUAAAUAGAAAUAUUUUAUCUAAUAUCCCACGUCAACAGUCGACAGUAGUGAAAAAGAAAGACCAAAUUCCAAAAGUUCAUCUCUAUGAAAAUUCAAUGUACUUGCCCCAAAAUUCAGAUAUGAAAAAUGAAACCGUUAUGAAGAAAUCUGAAUCGGCCUAUACCCUUAGUUCUCAAAACAACAUAAAACAUAAAGUUAAUAAGAUGGUCAAUAAUUUUAACCAAAAAAAAAUAUCUAAGUCCCAACCCCAUUUGGAAAUUUUUGACCUUCAUUUAGAUAGCUACGAUCCAUUUAAAUCAGCUGAACAACAAAUGAAAGAGCUUGAUCUAGACAUAGACAUAAUUGACAUUGGUCUUAAAAAUCCAUUAAAUUGUGCCCCAUCUGAUAAUAUUGAAAAUCUUAAAAUAUCUCCAGCAUCUGCAUUUGUUAAGUAUUUGCCAGUUUCCCCUUUAGAAUCGUCUCCAGAUAAUAUUGAAAACACAUUUUCCAAUGAAUUUCACUCUGACACUAAUCUUUACAGUCACCCACUACACAAUCUAAGCAACUUAAGUUUGUGUUCUAUUGUUAGUAUUGAAUCAGCUGAUUUUAAUAAUAAAACUCAUAGUGCUAAAGUGCAGGGUAUGGAUCAUCCAAAAAGUCCUACAAAAGGAAACAUAUCUCAUAAAGAUAAAAAAAAUAUAGCUAUUGAAAAUAUGCUAUAUGGUGAUAAUGAAAAAAAUAAAUCAAGUCUCAACUUUGAUUUGGCGGAACAAGAACUUUUAAAAUCUGUGUCAGAAUUUGAAAACUUAUUGAAAAUAACAGAUGACGAUGAUAUAGUAUCACCAUCUUUGAAUAGAACCUCUACCCUUAGUAUGAUCAACAGGAUUAAUUCAAAUAGCAGUGCUGAUUCAGCUUAUGGAAGGUAAGGCGAGCAAUCAAUGGUGUUUCAAUUGGCAUCGAGUACUUGCACGGUUUGAGCUGGUUUCAUUUGGAAUCCAACACUUAUUGAUUUUAGCCAAAAUCAGNCUAACACGGCUUGAACAGAAAAACUGAUCAGGAGGCAACUGAGAAUUAUAAUACACUGCUAAUAUCUGCAAAGUUUUGUCAUGAAUGUGGAUU
rnacentral:misc_RNA from 1 species